CCUCUCGUUUAGGUGCAAACCAAACAAAAGUAUCAGGCUGGUCAGUUGUCGCGGUCAGACGCGGGCCCGACACCAGCACUACAGUCCCGCAAGUUGGCACAGAUCCACAGCAUACUUAAAGAGGAGGGUAACGACAUUCAAGAGCUGAAGAAUGACAUCCGUCGACUGACCCUCAGUCUGAACUGUGACCUCAGUGCUUGACCCAGGAGGUCAGAGGGUUCGAGGCUCUGACUCUGACACCGCACACAGGGCAUGUGAGCAUCAGGACGGUCUGCUGUUGCGGUCAGACACAGGGCAGAUGCUGGUGAUACAGUCCUUUUCGUCAAAUGAAAAAAAAACUUGACGUUCUUAAGGGAAGACCUGGGUCGGCGAUCCCAGACAAUAUCGAUAAAAUUUUUCAAACUAUCCAACUUUUGUUUUUUGCGGAAAAACAUCCUUUGACAUCUGUUCUAUCGGGUCACAAUGACGAAACUGUUGA